rnacentral:rRNA from 1 species
AGAGUUUGAUCCUGGCUCAGAACGAACGCUGGCGGCGUGCCUGAGACAUGCAAGUCGUGGGAGAAUGUCGUAGCAAUACGGCUAGUAAACCGGCGCACGGGUGAGUAACACGUGGACAACCUGCCUUGAAGCCCGGGAUAACCCGUCGAAAGACGAGCUAAUACCGGAUAAGACCACGGGGAGUUCGCUUCCUGAGGGAAAAGAUGGCCUCUGCUCUUGCAAGCUAUUACUUCUAGAGGGGUUCGCGGCCUAUCAGCUAGUUGGUGAGGUAACGGCCCACCAAGGCUAAGACGGGUAGCUGGUCUGAGAGGAUGGUCAGCCACACUGGGACUGAGACACGGCCCAGAGUCCUACGGGAUGCAGCAGUCAGGAAUAUUGCGCAAUGGAGGAAACUCUGACGCAGCGACGCCGCGUGGGUGAUGAAGGCCUUCGGGUCGUAAAGCCCUGUCGGAGGGGAAGAAAAGCUGUAUGGCUAAUAUCCAUGCGGCCCUUGACGGUACCCUCAAAGGAAGCACCGGCUAACUCCGUGCCAGCAGCCGCGGUAAGACGGAGGGUGCAAGCGUUGUUCGGAUUGACUGGGCGUAAAGGGCGUGUAGGCGGUUGGUCAAGUCUGGUGUGAAAGCCCGGAGCUCA